rnacentral:rRNA from 1 species
AAAUUGAAGAGUUUGAUCAUGGCUCAGAUUGAACGCUGGCGGCAGGCCUAACACAUGCAAGUCGAACGGUAACAGGAAGCAGCUUGCUGCUUCGCUGACGAGUGGCGGACGGGUGAGUAAUGUCUGGGAAACUGCCUGAUGGAGGGGGAUAACUACUGGAAACGGUGGCUAAUACCGCAUAACGUCGCAAGACCAAAGAGGGGGACCUUCGGGCCUCUUGCCAUCAGAUGUGCCCAGAUGGGAUUAGCUUGUUGGUGAGGUAACGGCUCACCAAGGCGACGAUCCCUAGCUGGUCUGAGAGGAUGACCAGCCACACUGGAACUGAGACACGGUCCAGACUCCUACGGGAGGCAGCAGUGGGGAAUAUUGCACAAUGGGCGCAAGCCUGAUGCAGCCAUGCCGCGUGUAUGAAGAAGGCCUUCGGGUUGUAAAGUACUUUCAGCGGGGAGGAAGGUGUUGCGGUUAAUAACCGCAGCAAUUGACGUUACCCGCAG